rnacentral:tmRNA from 1 species
GCUCUUCCCCUCGUCACUCCCCUUCCCUAUAUUGGGUGUGUCCGGGCAACCGGACUAUGGGGAUAAACGCCCACGUAAUAAGCGGACUGGACCCGGGUGCGAUUCCCGGCGGCUCCACCAUCAUCCGGCCAUGGCUUUUUGGCAGGACCUAUGGGGCCGAUCAGCAUCGACAGACGUGUAAAGGUGAAGCUUUCCCCCGGCAUGGGCUCCCGCGAUCGGCCCAUUUUUUAAAUGCGAACGAUAACUUCGCUUCGGAAUACGCCCUCGCUGCGUAAUGCAGUCGGGUAAUUCCAAAUAAACUCCUGGGGAAUAAGCCCUCCAGGCGGGGCCCGCCGGACGCCUUGCAACAGAAGUCCGGCACU